UACAGAGGUCCCAAGCGUUGUUCGGAUUCAUUGGGCGUAAAGGGUGCGUAGGCGGCGGGGUAAGUCGGGGGUGAAAUCUCGGAGCUUAACUCCGAAACUGCAUUCGAUACUGCCGUGCUUGAGGACUGGAGAGGAGACUGGAAUUUACGGUGUAGCGGUGAAAUGCGUAGAUAUCGUAAGGAAGACCAGUGGCGAAGGCGGGUCUCUGGACAGUUCCUGACGCUGAGGCACGAAGGCCAGGGGAGCAAACGGG
rnacentral:rRNA from 1 species